UGAGAAAGAUUGGAUCCUAUUGGGAGAUGG
rnacentral:piRNA from 1 species